AGCAGUCGCCACGGUAAUACGUAGGGUGCAAGCGUUAAUCGGAAUUACUGGGCGUAAAGCGUGCGCAGGCGGUUUGUUAAGACAGAUGUGAAAUCCCCGGGCUCAACCUGGGAACUGCAUUUGUGACUGGCAAGCUAGAGUAUGGCAGAGGGGGGUGGAAUUCCGCGUGUAGCAGUGAAAUGCGUAGAUAUGCGGAGGAACACCGAUGGCGAAGGCAGCCCCCUGGGCCAAUACUGACGCUCAUGCACGAAAGCGUGGGGAGCAAACAGGAUUAGAUACCCCCGUAGUCCCUGUCUCUUAUAC
rnacentral:rRNA from 1 species